UACACUCACCGGCCACUUUAUUAGGUACACCAUGCUAGUAACGGGUUGAACCCCCUUUUGCCUUCAGAACUGCCUCAAUUCUUCGUGGCAUAGAUUCAACAAGGUGCUGGAAGCAUUCCUCAGAGAGCUUGGUCCAUAUUGACAUGCUGGCAUCACACAGUUGCCGCAGAUUUGUCGGCUGCACAUCCAUGAUGCGAAUCUCCCGUUCCACCACAUCCCAAAGAUGCUCUAUUGGAUUGAGAUCUGGUGACUGUGGAGGCCAUUUGAGUACAGUGAACUCAUUGUCACGUUCAAGAAACCAGUCUGAGAUGAUUCCAGCUUUAUGACAUGGCGCAUUAUCCUGCUGAAAGUAGCCAUCAGAAGUUGGGUACAUUGUGGUCAUAAAGGGAUGGACAUGGUCAGCAACAAUACUCAGGUAGGCUGUGGCGUUGCAACGAUGCUCAAUUGGUACCAAGGGGCCCAAAGAGUGCCAAGAAAAUAUUCCCCACACCAUGACACCACCACCACCAGCCUGAACCGUUGACACAAGGCAGGAUGGAUCCAUGCUUUCAUGUUGUUGACGCCAAAUUCUGACCCUACCAUCCGAAUGUCGCAGCAGAAAUCGAGACUCAUCAGACCAGGCAACGUUUUUCCAAUCUUCUAUUGUCCAAUUUCGAUGAGCUUUUGCAAAUUGUAGCCUCAGUUUCCUGUUCUUAGCUGAAAGGAGUGGCACCCGGUGUGGUCUUCUGCUGCUGUAGCCCAUCUGCCUCAAAGUUCGACGUACUGUGCGUUCAGAGAUGCUCUUCUGCCUACCUUGGUUGUAACGGGUGGUUAUUUGAGUCACCGUUGCCUUUGUCAUGACCCGGCUCAAAGGCCAUGAAAAAGAUUGCGAGGCGUACGGGUUUAAACUUAAAACGAAAGAUUUAUUAGCAACCAAGAU